AGUCCAGUCCUGGGUUUCAUCAUGUUAGUCUGUAACAGUGUUGUGGUAGUCCAGUCCUGGUAGUCAAGUCCAGUCCUGGGUUUCAUCAUGUUAGUCUGUAACAGUGUUGUGGUAGUCCAGUCCUGGUAGUCAAGUCAAGUCCAGGGUUUCAUCAUGUUAGUCUGUAACAGUGUUGUGGUAGUCCAGUCCUGCUAGUCAAGUCCAGUCCUGGGUUUCAUCAUGUUAGUCUGUAACAGUGUUGUGGUAGUCCAGUCCUGGUAGUCCAGUCCUGGGUUUCAUCAUGUUAGUCUGUAACAGUGUUGUGGUAGUCCAGUCCUGGGUUUCAUCAUGUUAGUAUGUAACAGUGUUGUGGUAGUCCAGUCCUGGUAGUCCAGUCCAGGGUUUCAUCAUGUUAGUCUAUAACAGUGUUGUGGUAGUCCAGUCCAGGGUUUCAUCGUGUUAGUCUGUAACAGUGUUGUGGUAGUCCAGUCCUGGGUUUCAUCAUGUUAGUCUGUAACAGUGUUGUGCUAGUCCAGUCCAGGGUUUCAUCAUGUUAGUCUGUAACAGUGUUGUGGUAGUCCAGUCCUGGUAGUCAAGUCCAGUCCUGGGUUUCAUCAUGUUAGUCUGUAACAGUGUUGUGGUAGUCCAGUCCUGGGUUUCAUCAUGUUAGUCUGUAACAGUGUUGUGGUAGUCCAGUCCUGCUAGUCAAGUCCAGUCCAGGGUUUCAUCAUGUUAGUCUGUAACAGUGUUGUGGUAGUCCAGUCCAGGGUUUCAUCAUGUUAGUAUGUAACAGUGUUGUGGUAGUCCAGUCCUGGGUUUCAUCAUGUUAGUCUAUAACAGUGUUGUGGUAGUCCAGUCCUGGGUUUCAUCAUGUUAGUCUGUAACAGUGUUGUGCUAGUCCAGUCCUGGAAGUCCAGUCCAGGGUUUUAUCAUGUUAGUCUGUAACAGUGUUGUGGUAGUCCAGUCCUGGGUUUCAUCAUGUUAGUCUGUAACAGUGUUGUGGUAGUCCAGUCCUGGGUUUCAUCAUGUUAGUCUGUAACAGUGUUGUGCUAGUCCAGUCCUGGGUUUCAUCAUGUUAGUCUGUAAAAGUGUUGUGGUAGUCCAGUCCUGGGUUUUCAUCAUGUUAGUCUGUAACAGUGUUGUGCUAGUCCAUUCCUGGGUUUCAUCAUGUUAGUCUGUAACAGUGUUGUGGUAGUCCAGUCCUGGGUUUCAUCAUGUUAGUCUGUAACAGUGUUGUGCUAGUCCAGUCCUGGGUUUCAUCAUGUUAGUCUGUAACAGUGUUGUGGUAGUCCAGUCCUGGGUUUUCAUCAUGUUAGUCUGUAACAGUGUUGUGCUAGUCCAGUCCUGGGUUUCAUCAUGUUAGUCUGUAACAGUGUUGUGGUAGUCCA